CUUGUCCUUCACACAUUUCAGUUACUUAAUGGCAAACAAGAAGUAUCAAUUGCCGACGGUUCGUUCAGGAAACAGAAGAAAGGAUAUGAGGAAGUACAUGUUCCAGCACUAAUCACAACCCUUCGAUUCAGAUGAGUCAUUGGUGAAUAUAGACAGAUUACCAAAGUAUGCACAGCCAGCUUUUGAGGGUUUCAAAUCAUUAUAAAGAACACAGAGUUGCUUGUUCAAAGCAGCUAUGGAAACAGAUCAAAAUGUUCUUCUCUGUGUUCCUACAAGACUGAAGUGAUACAGUAUGAAGGUUGAGGAGGUUUAGGUGACCAAGGAACAGAUAAAUGCCACACAGAUAGUGUGCACGCCGGAGAAGUGGGAUAUCAUCUCUAGGAAAGGAGGGGAGAGAACUUAUAUACAACUUGUCAGAUUAAUGAUCUUUGAUGAGGUUCAUUUAUUGUCUGAUGAAAGAAAGAGGACCAGUUUUAGAAUCUCUUAUUGACAGAAACAUGAAAACUACACAAGAAGAUGUACAACUUGUUGGUCUUAGUGCCACACUACCAAACUACAAGGAUGUAGCGACCUUCCUGCGCUUGGAACCCUCUGGAGGUCUGCUCUUUUCCGACACCAGUUUCCGACCUGUACCACUAGAACAAAUAACUACAGGCCAAUAUCUAUUUAGCCUAAAAUUUCCAUUUCUUCUUAAAGAAAACAUCAUUCACAAAACUCAAUCAGGAUUCAUGUCAUACAGCACUAACUACCGGUAGACUAAUAGAAGCAUGGCUUUCAAAUAUAGAUUCUGGUAAAUAUGUUGGAACUGUUUUAUAUUUUUAGAUCUAUGAAAAGCUUUUGAUCUUGGUGAUUUUACUGCAUAAAUUUGAAAUUGAAAUUUUUAGAUAAGUUUUGAAUUUUUUAAAUCAUAUCUAUGAAACUUAACUCAAAUGAUAAAAGCAAGAAACUCCAAAUCUAAAAGUAUGCUUGUAACCUCUGGAGUUCCUCAAGGUUCAAUUCUUGACCCUCUUUUAUUUUUACGACAUAUCAAUGAUAUCGCUUUAGCUUCAGAGUGGCAAUAUAGACCUCUAUGCUGAUGACUGUACUAAAAAUCAGAUUAUGAUUUAGAUAAAGUGCAAACUAAACUCCAGCAGAAUUUAGAUGUUGUGCAACAAUGGUGCAAUUUAAACAAUAUAUGCCACUUCAUCCAAAGAAAACAAAAUGCAUGGUUUUGUUUACUAAACAAAAAAGUAACAAUUGUAAGAACUAUUUUUAUGUAUUUCCAAGCAAGUAACAUAAAAUGUCAAGGUGCAGAAAUUACGUGGUGUUUAUAUAGACAACACAUUGUCAUGUAAUGUUUAAAUUGAAACAGUUUGCACUAAACUUGACUCAAAAAUAGCAUUGUUGAGGCGUAUAUUGUACUAUAUGACAGAUGAAAUGGAAAAAAUUAUUCUAUAAUGCAUAAUUAUGUAAUGUCAAUAUUUGAUUAUUGUUGUAUUGUAUGGUGUCAAGAAAAUAAGAGUUCUUCAAAGAAAAUAAUGAAAAUUUAAGGUAGUGCUGCAAAAAGUUGUUUUGAAUAAAACGUUCCAAACAAGAACAUAAGAUAUGCGAGAAGAACUUGGGUGGAUGUCAUUUAAUGAAAGAUGUAACGUUCACACAAGCUGUCUUAUUUACAAAGCUUGCAACAAUUUAGCACCUUCAUAUAUCUCUGAAAUUUUAACCUUUUCCAGGAAUGAAACAUACAGUCUAUAAGACCUACUGCUCAUAAUGACAUAGUUGUACCUUGACAUCAUACAAAUUAUGGUAAAAAAACUUUUUGUUACAAUGGUGCAAAUGUUUGGAAUUCAAUACCAAAUGAAAUUUGCUCAACAGGUUCUAAGUUAAACAUCUUUUAAAUACUAGAAAUAUAUUAAAUAUAUCUUGCAUUUGACUGCCUUAAGAAUCUCUUUGUUUAUAUCAACUGAAUUAUAACUAUGCCAUUAUAAUAUAAUUAUGCAUGUAUAUAUUAUGUCACUAAUUGAUUGCCUAAAUGGAAAUUGUAUAUCUAUUUUAAGGGGUAUUUGUCUAAGAAUGAAUGUGAUAUUAAUUAGCAUAUGUGAUAGUGUAAAUUUUAUUUGGUGGUUGCUGUUGUUUAGAAGGCCACAUUUAAAAGUAAGAAGUAUCAUUUGUACUUUUCACUGAUCUUUAUCUUCAUUUGCUACAAUCUAUAGAUAAAGAUGUUAUUAUUAUAACAGGAAACAAUCCAUAUUUUGUCUAGGGUGUUUUUUUGGCUGCUUACUUAUGCCUUAAACUGUAAUAUUAUUCUGUCAAGCAUAUUUAGGGUGUGUAUCAUACAAUGUGUUUCACAUUGUUUCAAGUAUUUGUUCUGUAUGCAUGUCAAAUAUACAUUAGAUUGCAACAUUUAUGGGUGUUCUUACUAAACAUACUCAGAGUGGGCAUGCCCCUCACCCCACUAACACUUUAGCACACCAACCAAACCAAAAUUCCGGAUUUACCCCUGAAAAUUACAAACUUUGAGGCAGCUAGUUUUCACAUAUAAUAACCUGUGUGAUGGUUCAGGCAAAUUCUUUCAACUUCAUUACAAAAGCAAGGUUUAAUUUUAGUCAAUUUCUAAAUCUAAAGAAAGUGUUAAUUCUUUGUUUAUAGUGUGUUUUUCAGUACUGAGUAGUUCAGUAAAAUCUAAUGGAAGUUGUUCAUAGUCAAAGAAAAAAUAUUUGUGAAAUUUUAGAGAGUAAAUGUUCUGAAUUACUUAUCAUAGCCAGAAGUCAAGAAUUUAAUUAUUGGUGAUUUUUUUAACUUUUUCUACAGUUUGAAGGGAAAUGCUUCAGGAUCUAUUUUCUCCUUUGCUGAAAUCUGGACGUCUAUUUGUCAGUUGUGUUUCAAGUGUCAUAGAUGAUGGAAAAAAAUAGAUCCUGUUUUGCCAAAUAUAGAAUUAAUGCUCAUUAACUAGAAAUAGAAGUAGGCAGAUUCAGUAAAACGCCAUAGUGUAAAAACUUUUCGCUACUAUCAGAUUCUGGUAUGAACAAACUUAUAUUUCUUCUAAGUAAUGAUGUGUCCAUUUUAUACCUGUUAGCCAGAUUUAUAUAUGACUGUUUUUGUCUUAGAUAUAGCAGUGAAUCCUAUUAAAUCAUUCCAUUCUCAUAGUUUUCCUCAUGUCUUUAAUGUAUAUGAUUCCUUGGUAUUACUAGCCAUGAUAUAAUAUUUUACUAGUCAUAAUAUUAUAUUCUGUUAUAUAACUAGUGAUAAUAUUAUAUUACAAUUUUCUGCCAGUAUUACAUUACUGUUUAUUAUUACUAUUAUAUUUUUUUUCUGUUGAUUUGUAGUGUUUGAAACUUUGUGUAUAUAUCAAAAUUGUCAUGCCCAAGAGGGCCCGAAACUGAAAAUAAAAGAUGUUCUAAUCUAUGAAAAACUGAAGGCCUAUCAAAGGUUACAAAUGUAAAGAGGAUACUGGAGGUAGAUGUCAUUCCAAAAUUGGCAUCAUUUUUCAACCAAUGAUUACAUGAACUGAAGUGGGUGGAGUAUUGGACAGAUGACAGUUUCAUUUCACAAAUUUCAAAAUCAGAACAAUAAUGUUCUUCUCUUGAUGUUUUUUUUUUUUUUUUUUUUUUUUUUUUUUAACUUUACUUGUGGCACUGCUUUCAUUUUAAUUCUCUUCUUAUCUAAUUAGUUAUUUAUAAUUCAUAUGACAGUUUUGUCCAAAAAAAAUAUUUUUCUUCUUAUUUGUUAUCGUUUUUUCUUUCUUAUUCAUUUUUAACUCCCUUCAUGUCUUAUCAAUAAGAGUAACAGACUUGCAAUGUUCGCAUUUUUAUAUCAAGUGUAAUUAUGUUUACUUUAGUCUAUAUCUGUUAUUACAUAUGUGACAUAAUAACAGUAUUAUUUCCUUAAAUGUAAUCCAACGCUUUCCCAUAUUUUUCUCACAAAAGAGUUUUUAGGGUUUUAGUGCGCGGAUUACAAAUAACAUUUAUUUUUUCACCGCUUGUACAUAAUUUUAUCUUAUCUUAAUCUCUGUUCAUAGUACUACAUAAGAACUAAUUUGUUCAUAAUACAUUAUUUUUAUUCAUGUCUUUCAAUUCACUGUAUAUAUUAGGAUGAUUUUUUACAUUAUUAUGUUAGAGGACCAUAAGUUAGACUGGCUGUAGCCAAAUAUGUUAUCCUCUUUAAAUAAAGUUGUUAUUAUUAUUAUUAUUAUUAUUAUUAUUAUGGUUGGUGUUUUUAUAUAAUUAUUUACAUUUUUCUAUCAAUUUUUGAUAACUUUAUAUUUUUUAUAACUUUAACAUUUUUUUCUUUCUUAAAAUUUUUCACUGUGAUGAUGUUAUAUUAUGGUUUAUGGAUGUAUCUGUGAAGUUUUAUGAAGUGGAAUUUAAAUGUUUUAAGUAACUUGUUUUCCAGUCCAUUCCAUCAAUAUUUUCUUUAAGGAGAAGAAUUCUAUAAGACUUAUAUCAAUAUAUCCACUUCAUUUUGGGAAUAAAUAUGUUUAAACUAAUAUUUUCUUUGUAAAACAUGUAUUUUGAUUGAUGUAUGUUUUUAUCAAACUUUGUUAACUUAAAUGUACUACUCUGUUUGUAAAUAUAAUCAUGGAAAUAAAUACAGCUAGAAAAAAAAAAAACAUUCAGCAUUUACUAUGGUAAUUGUGUGGCCAAAUGGUUAUUGUUACUGGCAUGAGAACAGGUGGCCUCUUGAGCAAGUUGGGCUGUAUUUGAAAUAUACAUGUAGAAUUCUUUCAUGUGAAGAACCCCUUCACAUUGUUUACAAAAGUUUGAUGAUUCUACCAAAGUCUUCCUCAGGCACCCAUAAAAUAUGAAUGUCUCAGUCUUGUUAUAAUGUGGCUUGAAACUUUUAAGAAGUAAAAUUAAAUGUAGUUGAAACUUGUUAUACUUUAUGCUGUCGUGAUGCAAAUAGUAUAUUGUCUUUGUGUUUUGUCCAUCAGAUUUCUGUAAGUAAACUUUAAACAUAA